UCAAUCCGUAAGAACCGAACGAGGCCUUAGCCAAUGGCGGAUCCACCACCACCAGCCACCAUAGGCGGUGGUCUAGGCUGCCAUGCCGACGAUAAUAAAUAGAAGCAGGCAGGUACUGUACCUAGAAGCAAAUCUGAUCUACUGAUCUACUCAGAGAAACGGGAAAACACACCUUGUUGUUGAUGUUGCUAUCUUCAUACCGUUGCUCUGCAGAGAAGCAACAGACAUCGGGAUCCGAGCCGCUGUAGGUUGUCGCGUUUCCAAACACUCCGACGCCUAGGCGAUGGGGGCCUCUGGGGACUAGGGUUUUGGGGCGAGAAACUAGCGUUAGUUUUUCCUGCGACCCCUUAGUCCUAUAUUUAUAGUGUCGUGUGCCUUGGGGCUCCAACCGAGGUUAGCGUGGGCCCUCCCAAUCAAGGGCCCAUUUAAAGAGAUAGAUAAUUGGGUUUAGCCCAAUCCGGUCACUGAUGACCAGCUGUAGAGGACACACCCAAUAAGUCGUACAUGGCGUGAGCACAGGCGUGGGAGAUCACAGCAUAAUCUUGUCUAGGUCACCUUUAAUUCCUGGGUCCGUCACUGGCCUUAGCUAUUUUCUUUCUGGGCAAAUGGCUAGGUCAUGACAUUCUCCCCUCAUUAAGCCACAUCUCCUCAAGCUGUGAACUUAGGAGUAGCUAUGGCACUAGCGGACCCAUCUGCUACGCUUAGGAUGUUUCAGAAAAAAUAUCAAAAAAGAAAAAAAAACAGAGAUCAUCCACUGGUCUAUAUGGACCACCCAUUGGGCCCGUCCUUAAGCUACGGUGCCUUGGUUACCAUUUAUAGUCUGUCACAGCAAGCUAGGAUGCACAAAUGCCUUUUUUCAAACCAUAGUCCCCAAGGACCAUCCACGACUUGAGCAUAAAACUGAAUAUGUUUGAGUUGUAGCGCGAUUCCAGACUUAGCGGCGGAAUCAAGUGAACUGUUGAUGUUGUAACGGUACCACUAUAUAAUUCACUAGUUUAAACUUUACAAAACUCACCUAACUCAAUCAUCCCACACUCAUAAUCUCCACUAAAUCCACCAAACAAAUUGCACCCAGACUUAAUAUAUCAUCAAAAUCAACUGUUCAGAUCGCUGGAUAACCCUCUCUUCCUUACUCACUUAAAUCUAAUGGACAAUAUUAUUUGGAUCAUCUCUCAUCUAUCCCCCUCCCGUGUGACCCCACCACCGCCGCCCCCUCUCCUCACUCAUGUCGCCGCCGCUGUUGUCAACCCCUUUUCUCGCGUCGUCGUCGACCUCUCCCUUAUCUCUACAGGAUCGUAGCGUUAGCCUAGGCUAUAUGCAAGUAAGGAUUAAGUUGUACAAGGUGUCAAUUAGUAAUGGUGCAUGUAUAAUGAAUGAAUGAUGUCCAGAAUAUAUUGUACCAUAGCACAAUAUUACUCAGACAAGAUGUCAAGAACCACUUU
rnacentral:lncRNA from 7 species